CCUACGGGAGGCUGCAGUGAGGAAUAUUGGUCAAUGGGCGAGAGCCUGAACCAGCCAAGUCGCGUGAGGGAGUACUGCCCUAUGGGUUGUAAACCUCUUUUGUCGGGGAGCAAAAGCCGGACGUGUCCGGCUGUGAGAGUACCCGAAGAAAAAGCAUCGGCUAACUCCGUGCCAGCAGCCGCGGUAAUACGGAGGAUGCGAGCGUUAUCCGGAUUUAUGGGGUUAAAGGGGUGCGCAGGCGGAUUUUUAAGUCAGCGGUCAAAUCGUGGGGCUCAACCCCAUCCAGCCGUUGAAACUGGGGAUCUAGAGUGUGCGAGAGGUAUGCGGAAUGCGUGGUGUAGCGGUGAAAUGGAUAGAUAUCACGCAGAACCCCGAUUGCGAAGGCAGCAUACCGGUGCACAACUGACGCUCAGGCACGAAAGCGUGGGUAUCGAACAGGAUUAGAUACCCGUGUAGU
rnacentral:rRNA from 1 species